GGGGUUAUAGCUCAGUGGUAAGGCAUUCAACUUUGGAUCGAGAGGUCCCCGGUUCAUCCCCGGGUGUCCUUU